UACGUAGGGUGCGAGCGUUAAUCGGAAUUACUGGGCGUAAAGCGUGCGCAGGCGGUUCGUGAUGUCUGGUGUGAAAGCCCCGGGCUUAACCUGGGAAUUGCAUUGGAAACUAGCGGGCUGGAGUGUGGCAGAGGGGGGUGGAAUUCCACGUGUAGCAGUGAAAUGCGUAGAGAUGUGGAGGAACACCGAUGGCGAAGGCAGCCCCCUGGGCUAACACUGACGCUCAUGCACGAAAGCGUGCGGAGCAAACAGG
rnacentral:rRNA from 1 species